GGUGCGUAGACGGGAAAUUAAGUUAGUUGUGAAAUCCCUCGGCUUAACCGUGGAGGGUCAUUGGAAACUGGUUGACUUGAGUGCAGAAGAGGGAAGUGGAAUUCCAUGUGUAGCGGUGAAAUGCGUAGAGAUAUGGAGGAACACCAGUGGCGAAGGCGGCUUCCUGGUCUGCAACUGACACUGAGGCGCGAAAGCGUGGGGAGCAAACAGG
rnacentral:rRNA from 1 species